UCUGCAGCUUCCCUCCCCUGUCCAUUGGAUCAGCAUCUGGCAAGGGCUUGCGCCGCCGGCCACCCGCCUGCAUCCCCGCCGCCACCUCCACAGCCCGGAGCACGCCGUAGCCCUCCGAGACUACGAAUCGGAACCCUGGCGGGGGCACCGGUGGCGGGCCGCCUGCUGCUCGCAGCAUUCCGUCCACCACCGUCAGAGCCCGGAGCACGCCGCGCGUCCGCGGCGUAGCCCCCCGACACUGCGAAUCGGACCCCUGGCGGGGGCGCCGCCUGCACCUCGCGGUCGCCGUCCGUCGGGUCAGCCGAGGGACGGCGGAGCGGUGGCCGGCGGCUGCGGAGGCGGCGGAGGAAGAAUCGGAGGGGGCACGAUGGCGGCGGAGUGCGGGGAAGCGGAGGGAGGGCCGAGACGGAGACGGAGUGGCGGCCGGAGCGUCGCGCGCCCGGAGGCGGCGGGGAUUGCAAGCCGCCCACCCAGGUAUAAUCCCACCUCGCCAAUUUACACCCGAAAUCGCGGGCUUAAAACCCGGGAUGCGGAUACGGGUAAUGUCUCCAAUUAAUUAAUUGGAGACACCCGAUUCAGCAAUUUGAAACGCUUUGCAAACUUUGAGCGCACGAUUCUUGCGAACUCUCAGCUCUUGUGACCUCGAAAGGUUAGUGUUCUGAGACCGUGCUCUCCAGGUUUGGGCCCAAUGGCACCUGGUCCCGGGUUGUUGGGUCCCUGUCCGGGCCCGGUGGGACCGUGGAGGAUGUUGCCGGAGGCUGCUCCCGGCUUGUUGGGUCCUUGUCCAGUCGGUUCAGGUAAGAGGCCUCGCUGGGGUUUCACCCGCCCUCUUGGAGGUGGGUCGAGGUCCGAUGCACGUUGGGAUUCUCAUAAGAGAGUCAAGAGUGACGUUGCUGAAUCCGACACACCUGAGCCAGCCCCCGAUCCCAACAUUGCUGUCACCACACCUGAGCCAGCCCCCGAUCCCAACAUUGCUGUUGGCCAAGGUACGCGCACGUAGGGCGCGCAAAGCCAUGGAAGCCAUGGAAUAAGGUUAAUAAUAAUUAGCCAGAAACAAAUAAGGCUAUAUAAAAGCCAUAGUUAGCUUGUGUGUGUAGGCUUAGCUUAAAUGCCAAUAAAGCUUGCGAAGCACUAGAAAAAUAAGGCUAUAAAAGCCAUAGUUAAUAAUAAAUAAGCCUGUAAGGCUAUAAUUAGCCAGAAACAAAUAAGGCUAUAUAAAAGCCAUAGUAGCUUGUGUGUGUAGGCUUAGCUUAAAUGCCAAUAAAGCUUGCGAAGCACUAGAAAAAUAAGGCUAUAAAAGCCAUAGUUAAUAAUAAAUAAGCCUGUGGUUGUAGGUAGCUUAUAAAUAAAAUAAGGCUAAAGGGCCAAUAGUGUGUUAGUAGCUUAGGGUGCACGUGCGGCAUGCACGUGUUUUUUUUUAAAUCGAGUAAAAGAGGUUUUAUGUUUAUAGAAAUUCUAAUAAACAAUAACUUCACAUUUGCAUAAAAGAAGUGUGCGCUGCAAAGACUCAUUUGGAAAGAAUAUCUAGCAAACAACAAUUUUGAUUCAGUAACCAACAAUUUAGGCAUUCCGAAAGAUAUCUAAUAAACGGAAAUUGCUGACCUGUGGAGCACCCUGCUGUACAGCAUCCUCCACGGCCUGGUACUCUAUGCCCUUCAUCAACAUUGAUGAGCGGAGCUUUGAUUUCUCUGGUUAUGAUGAGAUCAAUGAGAAGUGGGACAAAUUUGUGGAUUUUACCAACAACCUGGUAUUGCUCCAUUCAAAUUCUGUGUCCUUGAAUAAAUGGACUCGUCAUGGCAUUAGCUACGCUGGUGAUGUGCCCUUCAAGUUGCUGGUGGAUCCAUGUCAUUGUUGCCUCAAAAAUACUCAGUCCCUUAUAUGAGCAAUUGGAUGAAUGUUUCACUGAACUGUUCUGUCAUGGUUGCCUUGUGCUGGUAAAUUUGAACUUCAUUGGUUGCUCCAAUAAUUUUCGAUACAUAAAAUCAUCCACACUGAAGAAGUUGGUCUUUAAUACCUGUUAGAAUGUCUAUGAUGCUAAACUUCUAGUGUUUUAUACGGUGCUGAUUCUUGGAUCCCUCAACUUGAUCAUUGAAGACUGAUGGUAUCAGGAGGCAUCUCUAAUUCUCUAUAAUCAUUGAAGACUGAUGGUAUCAGGAGGCAUCUCUAAUUCUCUAUAAGCGUGGCUUCACUUGUCAACGCAUCAGUUUAUAUACAGUACAAUGAGUAUUUCUUUGCGAAGAAUCAGCGCAUCUUGGUGGUCUCUACAACAUUAAAGUUUGUAGAUGAAGAUUUUGACACACUGGACUUGUCACUGGAAGGUUGUUUACUCGAUGAUGAGUAUUAUUUGACAGCAGACUGAAUGAUCUAAGGGAGCUUUCUUGAGAAUGUACUUUGUAUACGGCAUACCAUGAUUUUUGUUUUUUCUAUCUUGCCAUAUCUCUCAUUAAGAUUCAGCUAUCUUACCUUGUAUUACCACCAAAAGUUUUCCAUAGGUUCUGGGUUUGUAUUGAGGGGAACCAGCCUGCAAAGCCAGGGUGGAGACAACGUUCUGAUGUCCAAAGCUGAAGUUGAUAUGUCCUGUACGACCAUGACCUGGUUGAACUUUUGUGGCACAUGGUGAGGCUACAAGAUGGCAUGGUGAUACACCAAAAUUUAGAUGGCUUCUUGGUGAGGGUCCUCUUCUCUUAUGUCGUUCUCUUUGCCCCAGUGCUGGCUAUUAUCUCUAAAUGAAUUGCUUAAUUGAUGUGGAAUCAGCUUGUAUCCAAUCUUCUAACUGCUGUACUUGGCCUGGGCGCAAAUUGUGUUUGCUUUGUGCAUUACACUCUGGGUUCUCGAUUCUGUCCAUUGCUGGGCCUAAUUCAAAGAGGUGGCAUACCUCUGGGACCAGCAUAGUGGUGAGGUUAUUUGUGGGCCUAAUUCAACAGGACGUGUUGUUGUACUAAUGUGCUAGUAUGCUUUAAAAAAAAGUACCAGCCUUGAACUCGUCCUGAAACAUGAAACCGUUUGAGUUGGUAUACUUGGUAGUUAUCAAAAUGAAAAGAAGAAAGAUUCAAUCAAUAGAGAUCAAAUAAGAAAGGCGAAUGGGCAUGUUUGGAUGGAGUCCUGGACUGAACUACCCGGCUAGGAACCCUGCUUGGGGUGUGUUUGAUUGCAGUCCUGGGAUUUCUGCCUCGAAACACUUGCCUGCGCUAGCUGCUGGCUGCCAGGCCGAGCAAAUCGAUCGCCUGGGCUCGUGACCCGAGCUGCCUGGCUCUAAUCACCCCCAAACCCACUUUCAUUUACCCUGCUGACAUUCCCUUCCCUCUCCUCACAUGUAGCUA